rnacentral:lncRNA from 1 species
AUUUUAAUUGUGAUGAACUCCACAGAACAGAAAAGGAAGGGUCUAUAUUCAACAUGAUAUCUACAGUCUUCUUGAUCUAUUUCUUUCAGCUCAUAGGGAAGUAUGGAGUUUCUAGCACCUACACGGUCCAGCAAACACCUCCUUCCAUCAUUAAGAAAGUUGGUCAAUCUGUAUCCAGUGAGAUCCACUGUUCACACAGUGUGUCAACUUUUAAUUGGAUUCUCUGGUACAAACGAGACAAACACAGAGCUCUAAAGUUCCUCGGAUACCUAAAUGUAAAAUCCCCAAACCCCGAGGAUGAUGUGAAAGGGAAAAUCAACUUUGAUGGAGACGCCAGAAAACAUUCAAACCUGACCAUUUCUAAUGUGUCAGUGACUGACAGUGCUGUGUAUUUCUGUGCUGCCAGCACGGUACUACAGAUUCCACUAAAGGCAAUACAAAAACCUCUCCUAAAGUCUCUGCAGAGAGAUUAAUAUCUGAACACCUGCAGCCAGUAUGUAACUAAAUCUAGCCUUGGAAAAAAAUUACUCAAAGUUUCAAGCUAAUUUUUAUCCCCUUUGAAGUCACAUUGGUGGCUAUUUUCAAAUAUUAAUAGUUGCAAGAAUCAUUGGGAGAAUUAGAGUAUUAAUUUUGAUCUAUGAUUAAAGCCAUUUUGCUUCCUGCAAUCAAGCCGUAACCAUUUUUCUGUCAAGAUUUUCACAGUCAGCCACAUACAUUUUGAAACAACGAUCAUAAAACUGCAAACCCUCUUGUAAUCUGUCUUUCUCAGCCUUCAUCUAGUAUCGGUAAAAGCGGAAGCCAACAGUUGCACUUCAUGAAACCAUUUAAAAACAGCAUGGACAUAAUGGUUAAACGAUCUCUCCUCAUACUGUUUCAUCCAUUUGCUGUGUGUAUCAGAUGUUUCCUAAUAAAGAGGUGGGGUACACACUGGACAGGUUGUCAUGCUGUGGCAGGGCUAACAUAGAGACACAGAGGCAUCAUGGACUGCAGGGGGAUGUCAAGUACCACAAAUACAACUGUCAGUGGUGACACCACAUAACAGGAUCACAGAGCUCCCCACAAAGCAGUGACACGCCCACCUGAAACUCUUGAUAUCAACAUAAAUUCAAACUGUCAUUUAUUCAUGUGUUCCUGUCGUCUACAACAUGGACAUUUUCAUAUAUGGUCACCUCCACUUUUUGAUAUUUCUGCUUUGGAUCAAAGGUGAGUUGAGUAAAAUCUCAUUUAUGGUGUUUCUUAUUUUAGGGAAGGCAGAAACAAGUGAUUAUGAUUUAAAGUUUUAUACUUAAACAUCUUCAUUAUUAAUUGAAGUGUUCUACACACACAGGUCUAACCGAUGCCAAGGAUGUCACACAAACUCCCAUGCUGUGGGAACAACAGGGUAAUAAUGCAACAAUGGACUGCAGCCAUACCAAGGGUGCUUCCUAUUUCCAGAUGUACUGGUACAGACAGCUUCCAGGAGAAAAUAUGGAACUGAUUGUGUUCACGACAACAGCCAAAAAAUACGAUCAUGACUUUGGAAAAUUCAAAAAAGAGAAAUACUCAGCCACAAAGACUGAGGCUCGUGAUGGGACAUUUACAGUGAAGAACCUGCAGCCAAAAGACAGUGGCUGGUAUUUCUGUGCCGUCAGUGAGCACAGUGAUACAGACUCAUGUGAAAGCUGAACAAAAACCUCACUGAAUGGUUGGCACAAGUGUUGCAAUUAUUUCCUGUACUGUAGGGGGACCUCAAGUACAACUACAGAUCAGAGGAUCAUAUGAAGGUCUUCAUCUUCCCACCACACACACAUUUAAGUUUUGGUUCCUCUGAACAGGAUGAUGAUCACAGCUGGCUGGAUAAAACUCUCUUCAAUGCUCUGUUUGCAUAUAUGAAGCUUCCACAUAAAUGACGGCAUGAAAAACCAUUCAUAGAAAAUUAUAAACUCAUAUUCACAGGCUCAUUAAGUCAUUCAGUAGAUACAAACAAAAUUAAUCAGUAAAAUAAAUAAAGAUAUAUUUAGUUACAGUUUUAAAUGACCGGUUAAUGAUAUGACAUACAGAACCAUAUACACACACACUGAAAUUACUGCCAACCAUUAAGUUAAAAAAAACAAAAUAAAACAAACAAACAUAUUUCACUCAAAGACAGCCCA